rnacentral:rRNA from 1 species
UACGAACCGUGCGAACGUUGUUCGGAUUCACUGGGCUUAAAGGGCGCGUAGGCGGGUCGCUAAGUCCGGGGUGAAAGCCCCCAGCUUAACUGGGGAAGUGCCUCGGAUACUGGCGGCCUCGAGGGGGAUAGGGGCCCGCGGAACUUCGGGUGGAGCGGUGAAAUGCGUUGAUAUCCGAAGGAACGCCGGUGGCGAAAGCGGCGGGCUGGAUCCCUUCUGACGCUGAGGCGCGAAAGCCAGGGGAGCAAACGGG